UACGUAGGGUGCGAGCGUUAAUCGGAAUUACUGGGCGUAAAGCGGGCGCAGGCGGUGAUGUAAGACAGUUGUGAAAUCCCCGGGCUCAACCUGGGAACUGCAUCUGUGACUGCAUCGCUGGAGUGCGGCAGAGGGGGAUGGAAUUCCGCGUGUAGCAGUGAAAUGCGUAGAUAUGCGGAGGAACACCGAUGGCGAAGGCAAUCCCCUGGGCCUGCACUGACGCUCAUGCACGAAAGCGUGGGGAGCAAACAGG
rnacentral:rRNA from 1 species